AACUGAUACUACCUGCGGGAACCUGCGGAAGGAUCAUUAUCGAGUUUACAACUCCCAAACCAUUGUGAAUCUUACCUUUUCGUUGCUUCGGCGGGAUCGCCCCGGGCGCUUCGGUGCCCCGGAUUCAGGCGCCCGCCGGGGGACCUAAACUCUUGUAUUAUAGUGGAUUUCUGAGUGGAUUACACAAAUAAUCAAAACUUUCAGCAACGGAUCUCU
rnacentral:misc_RNA from 1 species